AUGCGUUAUCUCUUAUUUAUCAUUACACGCUAUAUUCUCCACGUAGCUAUACAUAUAUCUAGCUGCGUAUCGUUCCACGUGUUGACUUCCUAAGAUGUUAGAACCAUAACCCCAGAAAAUUCGACUGUUUUUUUUUUAAGAACGUCUAGGGCCCUGGGGGGCUACCGGCUAAGACGAAGCCGAUUCAGAUUGGAGCAAAUCGAACAUCGAUUUGAUUCUGUCGUACCGCGUAAGCAGCCAAGAUGGCGAUCCCCGAUUCGUGACGUCACAUGAAGUUCGGCAAGCCGAUUGAACGAAUGAUUUCAGUACUUUUGACACUAAAUCGCUACCGCGUAAAAAAUCGAAGUUCGGCGCCUGAAGCCGAUUCCCAUUGGAAGUGUCAGUUGAAGCCGGGCACUUUUCAGUAACCGUGAUCAAUUUUAAUUUCUUAUUUUCACUGUUUUUCACCAAUAUUAGGAGCUAUUUACGGUGGGCGACAAAUUUUAGGAACAUCUUAAUCAAUAUAAAAUUAAUAUCGGCGUGGAUUUUCGUGUUUAAAUACCUAAAUACAGUGUCAUGGAGAUAGUCGUUUUAUGGGCUGCUGCGGAAGAAAAUGUCUUCAGAAUCUUGAGCAAAUCGAUUGCAGGAUACUUCGAGAGAAAAGCCAGUAUAUACUUCUCACAGAGAGUAGCUACAUUAAUAAUUUUAGAUUAUCAAAAGACGCAUUUCGGACUUUGUAUCAUGACUUAGGACCAUAUCUAGAGGUCCAAUGCUCUACAACUGUGCAAUCGACUUUAAGUGACAAAUGCCCUCAAUCAGCCUGCAAUCGUGAGAUAAUAUAUCAAGUUUCCUCGGACAAAAACUGAGCAUGUAGAAGUCUCCAGAGGUUUUAAUGACAAAUUUGGAUUUCUUGGAGUACUUGGAUGCAUCCACUGCACACACAUUGCCAUUAUCCAACCUCACAAGUGGGAAGAGGCCUUCUGCAAUAGCAAGUAUUACCAUUCAUUGCAUGUUAUGUUGGUAAGAAUCAUGCCUUUAACUAGCUACAUUUGUUUUGAUUCUUAUGAUUGAGUCGCUAAAAAUAUUUUAAUUUUCAGGUUUGUGAUGGAGAUAUGUGCAUUACAUUUGUGAUGCAUCCAAUGGGAGUGUUAGUGCUAGACUGCUAGCCAAGAUAACCAUAUUUGGAACAGCACUUUGAGAAGGGAAAAGGAACAUCUCCUUAAUUUAAAUAUGUUUAAGUUCAUUAAGUGGACUUGUGUGGUCCUUGAAAUGUAAAUUACAAAGUCAGUGUGGUGUAAUCAAAAGUGGCAGAUUUGUUAUUCAAUAAUACAACAUCUAAACAAACCUUUCUUUAUUGGCAUCCAAUAAACUAUUUUCAUUA